AUUGAACGCUGGCGGCAUGCCUUACACAUGCAAGUCGAACGGCAGCAUGGAGAGCUUGCUCUCUGAUGGCGAGUGGCGAACGGGUGAGUAAUGCAUCGGAACGUACCGUGUAAUGGGGGAUAACGUAGCGAAAGUUACGCUAAUACCGCAUACGACCUGAGGGUGAAAGCAGGGGAUCGCAAGACCUUGCGUUAUACGAGCGGCCGAUGUCAGAUUAGGUUGUUGGUGGGGUAAAGGCUCACCAAGCCGACGAUCCGUAGCUGGUCUGAGAGGACGACCAGCCACACUGGGACUGAGACACGGCCCAGACUCCUACGGGAGGCAGCAGUGGGGAAUUUUGGACAAUGGGGGCAACCCUGAUCCAGCCAUGCCGCGUGCGGGAAGAAGGCCUUCGGGUUGUAAACCGCUUUUGUCGGGGAAGAAGUAUCCUGGGCUAAUACCUCGGGAGGAUGACGGUACCCGAAGAAUAAGCACCGGCUAACUACGUGCCAGCCGCCGCCGUAA
rnacentral:rRNA from 1 species